UGAGGGAAGGAAUGUAUGUGUUUUGUUUUUUUCACAUAUACUGUGUUCCACUAAAAUCACUAGAAAUUUAUAAACAGUCCCUUAAACGGAAUAUGGGCUGUUAGCUGGAGGAAUCCAGAUGUGAGUCAGAUGCUUAGGGAGAGAGAAAGAAGGAAGAACCCCAACUGCUGGCANGCAAAGAAGCAAAUCAGAGAUCUCUGCUGCCACCUCCAGGCUACUGCAAAAGAACUAGGAUUAUUCAGCUCUGCUUAUCUCUCUACCAGACCAAGCAGUAGCAGUUGUGGUCAAUAUCAUCAAACACCAUAUGUGAGGAAAGAUGAGGGGAAAGAAGAAGAUCAGCCAAAACCCGUCUCCAGAAUCAGCAAG
rnacentral:lncRNA from 1 species